GAUGAACGCUGGCGGCGUGCCUAAUACAUGCAAGUCGAGCGAACGGACGAGAAGCUUGCUUCUCUGAUGUUAGCGGCGGACGGGUGAGUAACACGUGGAUAACCUACCUAUAAGACUGGGAUAACUUCGGGAAACCGGAGCUAAUACCGGAUGAUAUUUUGAACCGCAUGGUUCAAAAGUGAAAGACGGUCUUGCUGUCACUUAUAGAUGGAUCCGCGCUGCAUUAGCUAGUUGGUAAGGUAACGGCUUACCAAGGCAACGAUGCAUAGCCGACCUGAGAGGGUGAUCGGCCACACUGGAACUGAGACACGGUCCAGACUCCUACGGGAGGCAGCAGUAGGGAAUCUUCCGCAAUGGGCGAAAGCCUGACGGAGCAACGCCGCGUGAGUGAUGAAGGUCUUCGGAUCGUAAAACUCGGUUAUUAGGGAAGAACAUAUGUGUAAGUAACUGUGCACAUCUUGACGGUACCUAAUCAGAAAGCCACGGCUAACUACGUGC
rnacentral:rRNA from 1 species